rnacentral:rRNA from 1 species
ACGUAGGGUGCGAGCGUUAAUCGGAAUUACUGGGCGUAAAGCGUGCGCAGGCGGUUGUGUAAGUCAGAUGUGAAAUCCCCCGGCUCAACCGGGGAAGUGCAUUUGAGACUGCAGGGCUUGAGUAUAGCAGAGGGGGGUGGAAUUCCACGUGUAGCGGUGAAAUGCGUAGAUAUGUGGAGGAAUACCGAUGGCGAAGGCAGCUCACUGGAUUACUACUGACGCUGAGGCACGAAAGCGUGGGGAGCAAACAG